UACGUAGGGUGCGAGCGUUGUCCGGAUUUAUUGGGCGUAAAGAGCUCGUAGGUGGUCUGUUGCGUCGGUUGUGAAAACCCGGGGCUUAACUCCGGGCCUGCAGUCGAUACGGGCAGACUAGAGUUCGGCAGGGGAGACUGGAAUUCCUGGUGUAGCGGUGAAAUGCGCAGAUAUCAGGAGGAACACCGGUGGCGAAGGCGGGUCUCUGGGCAGUAACUGACGCUGAGGAGCGAAAGCGUGGGGAGCGAACAGG
rnacentral:rRNA from 1 species